UGGACCGUUAGUCCGUGUUUAGCCGUGCUCCCUGUUGUGUGUAAAAUUAACAGGGUCUGCGCGGCAGACACUGACUCGUGGCCCA
rnacentral:miRNA from 1 species